rnacentral:rRNA from 1 species
UACGAAGGGGGCUAGCGUUGCUCGGAAUGACUGGGCGUAAAGGGCCCGUGGGCGGUUGGCCAAGUAGGGCGUGAAAUUCCUGGGCUCAACCUGGGGACUGCGCUUGAGACGUGUGGGCUUGAGUGGGGAAGAGGGUCGUGGAAUUCCCAGUGUAGAGGUGAAAUUCGUAGAUAUUGGGAAGAACACCGGUGGCGAAGGCGGCGACCUGGUCCUUGACUGACGCUGAGGCGCGAAAGCCAGGGGAGCGAACGGG